AAGCUACAAAGACCUGGAAAUCAUUUAGAAUAUAUACAAAUCAGUUCAGUGUCCCAAAAUGACACACCUGUAAAAACAGGCUAUCGUUCAAAGAGAGAAAAG